GGAUCGAGAAGAGGAAAAGCCGAAGAAGCAGACGCAGAGAGACGCAGACGACGGCGGCCAGAGCGACGGCCCUGAGCCGGUUACAACGGGGUGAGAUGCACCCUUAUCGCUCUUAUCGCUAUCAAUCGACUGUGGGGUUUCCAUCUGGGAGCACCGCAAAUACAAGAACAAGACUGUUCCAACAAAGUUCUGGGUUUAUCCUAGACUAGCACGUACACAACUGAAGGAAUCAAGAACCGGAAACGAACGACUUCAUUCUUCUUUAUUAUUCUAUCGAAUCGGAUAAAGGAUAAAGAAGAAGAGAAUGGGAACCGCUGAAUUGAGUGCUUGGCUUCAGCGAUGUCGAGAAUCACGAAGGCUUGUCCUCGUGAUAGUUGCCAUCGCUUUACUACUCGACAAUAUGCUCUUAACAACGGUCGUUCCAAUUAUUCCGGAAUUUCUCUACGACAUAAAACACCCUAACGCAACUCUAAGCGAGCAUCUCGAAGGAAACGUAAAUCAUAGAUCAGGGAUUACAACCACUACAACGACUACUGCUGCGACAACGACUAUUACAACUACCACGACUACAACCUCAUCGAUGUCAACACCGUCAACACCGAGAUGUCCUUGUCCUCUUAAUAUAUCUAAUAAUAAUUCUCCGUUGGAAUUUCUUUCUAUUACAACAAUGUCUCCGGAAUUGACAGAAUUGACAACGAUAAAUUCGACGACAUCCGAACAAAAAGAAAAGGAACAAAGGCAUAAAGAAUUAUUGGAAGAAACAGUAGCCGUAGGAAUGAUGUUCGCAUCGAAAGCCUUCGUACAAUUGCUUGCUAAUCCUGUUGUUGGACCUCUUACUCAUAGAAUAGGCUACAGUAUUCCAAUGUUCACUGGAUUCAUUAUUAUGUUCAUAUCGACGUUGAUAUUUGCAUUUGGUCGAAGUUAUGGGAUAUUAUUUUUGGCACGUGCACUACAGGGUAUUGGUUCCUCGUGUUCGAGUGUGUCAGGUAUGGGUAUGUUGGCGGAGAGAUAUCAGGAUGAUAAAGAACGUGGUAAUGCGAUGGGUAUAGCACUUGGUGGACUUGCUCUUGGUGUUUUAAUUGGGCCACCAUUCGGUGGAGUUAUGUACGAAUUUGUUGGAAAGUCUGCACCAUUUUUAGUACUCUCAGCAUUGGCUCUUGGCGAUGGACUUUUACAACUUUUGAUGCUUCAACCAUCUGUAGUGUACACGGAAGCCGAACCACCAUCUUUGAAAUCAUUGGUUACUGAUCCAUAUAUUAUUUUAGCUGCUGGUGCAAUAACAUUCGCAAACAUGGGCAUCGCUAUGUUGGAACCAAGCUUACCUAUAUGGAUGAUGGAUACGAUGGGUGCCAGUCGUUGGAAGCAAGGAGCGACAUUUUUACCUGCUAGCAUUAGUUAUUUAAUUGGAACUAACUUAUUUGGUCCCCUUGGUCACAGGAUGGGCAGGUGGUUAGCGUCGUUAAUCGGUCUCAUUGUAAUUGGUCUCUGUUUGAUGUGCAUACCUUUGGCCAGCAGUAUCAAUCAUUUAAUCAUUCCUAACGCUGGAUUAGGAUUUGCUAUUGGCAUGGUCGACAGUUCAAUGAUGCCUGAAUUAGGAUAUUUGGUAGAUAUAAGGCAUACUGCUGUUUACGGAAGUGUUUAUGCAAUCGGGGAUGUGGCAUUUUGUUUGGGCUUCGCCAUAGGACCCGCAUUAAGCGGUACGCUGGUUAACACUAUAGGAUUCGAGUGGAUGCUCUUUGGAAUUGCUAUUUUGAAUUUCAUGUACGCACCCUUAAUGUAUUUCCUCAGAGCGCCGCCGACGAAAGAGGAGAAGAAGUCGCUGAUAAUCGGCGAGAAGUCGUCCGUGCGCUACGUAACGUACCAGAACGAAGAGGAUGAUCAAUAGAUCGCUAAUCAAUCGACAAACUGUGACGUUUUAAACACGGUAAAUCUCAACUCUUUUCUUUUCUUUUUAUUUUAUUAUUAUUAUUAUUAUUAUUAUUAUUAUUAUUAUUAUUAUUAUUAUU